GGCUGCUGCACGCGCUAGUGACUGUUAGGCCUGCUUGUAGCUAACAUUUUGGUUAACAUUAGCAACUUCUGUGGCUUGAGACUGCUAGCUAACAGUAACGGACAGGAAAAGGCUCUGACAGGACGGAUUCAUGCAGAUAGGCUACGAUGUGAAUUUGUGAUGCAACCAACAGGGGCACCAGGCCAGGUCGUGCCCAUCGGCAAUGGAGUGUGACGUGGCGUCAUGUAAUUGGGCAUCAGAAGUGGAUGGGGAUAUGCGGUGGACUACAUUUUUUGGAAAGGGGUAUGCAGCUUAAAAAGAUUGAAAACCCCUGUUCUAAUGGGAUCUGGUACAAUGAAUAUCCUCUACUCAGUGACACACCAGCGUCACUGUGACACAUUUCCCAAUAUUUUCCCCAAAAGUGACAACUAGAAGGCUAACACGAUCCGGAGAUGUCACUUACGGCCAGCACUAAACCUGGACAACACUGCACUACUUGUUCACCUAUAAAUUGUACUUUCACCACAACCACUACAACACUCACUUUGGACUGGUGACCGUGUUUGUGUUUUGUGUGUAUUGGAUUAUUGUUUAUUAUUUGCGAGACUGCAAACCUUAAUUAUUCACUAUUGCCACUAUUGUUUACUGUUUGGUCAUCAAACCCCUUAGAUUAAAAUAAACAGAAACCAUUUCACCCUUA